rnacentral:rRNA from 1 species
AACGAACGCUGGCGGCAUGCCUAACACAUGCAAGUCGAACGAGACCUUCGGGUCUAGUGGCGCACGGGUGCGUAACGCGUGGGAACCUGCCCUUAGGUUCGGAAUAACUCCCCGAAAGGGGUGCUAAUACCGGAUAAUGUCUUCGGACCAAAGAUUUAUCGCCUUUGGAUGGGCCCGCGUUGGAUUAGCUAGUUGGUAGGGUAAAAGCCUACCAAGGCGACGAUCCAUACCUGGUCUGAGAGGAUGAUCAGCCACACUGGGACUGAGACACGGCCCAGACUCCUACGCGAGGCAGCAGUGGGGAAUAUUGGACAAUGGGCGAAAGCCUGAUCCAGUAAGGCCGCGUGAGUGAUGAAGGCCGUAGGGUUGUAAAGCUCUUUUACCCGGGAUGAUAAUGACAGUACCGGGAGAAUAAGCUCCGGCUAACUCCGUG